AGGCAGGCUCGCUUCAUCGCUGUGGUUCGCCACAGAGGAAAGUCUGGACAGCAUAGAGCAACCCACCGGUGAAUAGCCGGGAACUACCAAGUAGUUACAGCAAGUGCCACAGAAAAUAACCGCCUUCGGGUAAGGGUGAAAAUGUAGGGUAAGAGCCUACGCUAUUGGAGGGUAACUUUUAAUAGGGGUAAACCUUGG
rnacentral:RNase_P_RNA from 1 species